AGAAUAAGUCGUUUUUUUAAAUGGUCGAUGUGUUUCUCGGGAACCCGAGCAGACGUGUUUAAAUAAGACACUGCUUAAAUUUUUUCAAUUUUUAUCAUCUUAGGUAUUUUAAAAAACGUCUCUUAUAAGGGAAUAGUAUACACCUUACUGCCUCUUUUCCUAUUCUCUUAAGAGAGAUUAAUUUUAAUGGGCAGCCCCAGGACAGUGGCAUGGGAGGCUGCCCUUGUGAAAGGAGGGAAAGGGAGACGGAGGCUGCAGAGCAUUCCAAGCCCUGCCGACCAGAAGGGGAAAUUGCCCCUUGGAAUGAGCAGCAGCGAGAGCCCUGGCUGUGCAUCUGCCUUCUGCCACCCUCAGUUCCAAGGUGCCAGACUCGCUCGGAGAGUGCUAACAUCCGUGCUGUGCUGCCGUGUGGGGUCGAGGCCCAGUGGGGGCUGCAUUUGUUGGCACGGGGACACCCUCCUUACAGCUGCGUUCCUCCUCCCGUGGCGUUCACUGUGGAAAACACAUCCGUGCGUCCUGUGCUUGGUGGCCAGCAGGAAAAAGUGAUGCCAAGGCUGAGCACAGAACGCCCCGAACCACCCCAAAUUAGCGGCAAGGGGGGAGCUCAGCGCACAGGGUCUCAGGAGCAACGCAGUUGGCCGUGGCCAGUACCCACCCGGCCAAAUUUCCUCUCCCGUGACCCCAGAGGAACAAAAAGCUCUGUGGCAUCAUCUGGCUGUUUCAGACAACACCCAGGGGAUACGCCGCUGCUUUUGGGCCCCACUGGCCACACGUCGAGGGAGCUGGGGCACAGCACGGAGCCGGCCCGCAGGCUGCAGGCGGGAAGGUGCCACCACGGAGGCGCGCCGGGACCGCCGGCCCCUGGCAGCCGCUGCCGUCGGGGGGACCCCCGGGGGCAGGCGGGGUGUUCCCCCACCCCCGGCCCUCCGGAAUGGGGGACAGCAGGCGACAGGGGGCGCCCCGCCACCGCUUUUAGCUCGCGGGACAGCGGAACGGGCCCUUCCCGGCGGGGGCCCCGCCGCUCGCCCCCCCUUUUGGGGGCAAAGCCCCCUUUUCCUGGCGCGUCCCCGCAUGUCCCCGCCCUGGGGGCAGCCCCAUCGGGUCGCACCUUUCGUUUUCAGCCGCCCCCCAGAUCCCCGAAGGCGGGCAGGCGGCGGGAGGAGGAGGGCUGCCCCUAUCGCCGCGGCUAUCGCGAUAGGAAGGUGCCCUCCCGGGGCCGUUUUCGUUUGGAGCUGGCUCCGGAGGGUGUCGGGACACGGGGAAAAGUCCCCCGGGCCCCUCUUUAGGUGCCCCCGCUGGCUGUCGGGUCUGUGUUAAUGUUUAAAAACUAGCGCCGGCUU
rnacentral:lncRNA from 1 species